rnacentral:tRNA from 1 species
GGCUCCGUAGUGAAAUUCAUGGUGGGUUGCAAGCCCAUCGAUGUGCGUUGGUACGUACCGGGGUCU